CCCAAGGCUCUCGCACACUCCACUCUCGCCAUCAACAUCUCCAGCCCCUUCUAUCCAACGCUCCCCACUGGUCCACCUCCCAUCAAUGGCGGACAAGAAGCGCCGUCGUGUGGACCCCACCUCAGAUGACGACGAGGAGCUGGACCCACGACCUCGCUCGAAAUCCCGAACCUCCAAGAGCGCCGGCACAAACAGCGCCCUCUCCUUCAAGAACCGACUCAAGCCCGACUCCGUCAUCCUCGAUUCAUUCAAGCAGACCUUCCAUUCCGCCCAAUCUUCCCGCAGCGAAAAAUCGCUAUCCCUCUCCGAUCUCAAUCUCUCCUUCCCAUACCGCGAGGUGACCGAUCUCCCACCGUCCAGUGUCCUCACCGUCAUCGAAUCGACGGUCCUUGCUGCCGCCUCAUCCAUCCUAUCAGGCCGUGGCUUUUCUUUCUCAGUCCCGGCCCGCGGCAGCUCCAACCAGGUUUAUAUCCCCGAGCUUGAUCGCAUUGUCCUCAAAGACAAGCCCUCGGUCCGCUCCUUCUCUAGCGUCUCCACCGUCCGCAAGACCACCAUCACGGCCCGCGUCCUCUCUCUUGUCCACCAGCUCGCUCUCAAGAACAUCCACGUCACCAAGCGUGAUCUCUUCUAUACCGACGUAAAGCUCUUCGGCGACCAGUCCCAGUCCGACGCCGUCCUCGACGAUGUCUCGUGCAUGCUUGGCUGCACCCGCUCCAGCCUCAAUGUCGUCGCCUCCGAGAAAGGCGUUGUCGUAGGCCGCCUUGUCUUCUACGACGACGGCGACCGCAUAGAUUGCACAAAGAUGGGGGUUGGCGGGAAGGCCAUUCCCCCCAACGUCGACCGCGUGUCAGGCCUUGAGUCCGACGCCCUCUUCAUCCUUCUUGUUGAGAAGGACGCUGCGUUCAUGCGGCUUGCCGAGGACCGGUUCUACAACCGGUUCCCGUGCGUGAUUGUGACUGCCAAGGGCCAGCCAGAUGUUGCAACGAGGCUCUUCCUGAAGAAGAUGAAGACAGAGCUGCGGUUGCCGGUGCUGGCCCUUGUUGACAGUGACCCAUACGGGCUGAAGAUCCUGUCGGUGUACAUGUGCGGGUCGAAGAACAUGUCGUAUGACAGCUCGAACCUGACAACACCGGACAUCAAGUGGCUGGGGAUCCGGCCUAGCGAUCUGGACAAGUACCAGAUCCCAGAGCAAUGCAGGCUGCCGAUGACAGAACAGGAUGUUAAGACAGGGAAAGAUAUGCUGGAGGAGGAUUUCGUGAAGAAGAACCCUGGGUGGGUGGAGGAGCUGGAGCUGAUGGUGAAGACGAGGCAGAAGGCGGAAAUACAGGCGCUGAGCUCAUUUGGGUUCCAGUACCUGUCGGAGGUGUAUCUCCCACUUAAGAUACAACAGCAGGACUGGCUGUGAGUGACCACCACGCCAAGAUGUACCCCAUUCUACAGAACCCAUAUACUUAAACCAUAUGAAGAACCCAGGUGUAGCACACUGGAGUCCAGAACCAUCAGUAAAAUAAAAACUGCAUAUGGAGCCCCCUCUUAAGAAAGGUUCUGAUUUGGUUGUGGGAUUCAUUUUUAUUCUCCUCAUGGCAAGCAAGCAAUUUGUGCUGGUCUGAAUGGAAGAGAGCUGGGGCGGGUGGCAAACUAUAUGAACAUAAAGAGCUGGCUGGAUCUAACAUGCCAAACGGUGGCUGACAGGAUGAAGGGGAAGACUCCCGAUGGAUGACGAGAUGAGGAAGACUUUCAACAUAAAAAAUGAUUUCAUGCCUGAGGAAGAAGAGGUCCGGAGGGAGAACCAGUGGGCCUUCGAGUGAAUUUUUUUUGUUGUUGUUGUUGUCGUUGUCGUUGUUGUUUUCUUUUUCGUUCUUUUUUCUUUUUUGGAUGGUCUACAGGGAUCAUCUCAUUUCUAAGUAGCUGUAGUAAUAUGAAGUGUAAAUAGGGUUGGUUGACAGUGCAUAGUUAGAAGUUGAUCUUUUUUGGAUGGUCUAUAGGGAUUAUCUCAUUUAUAAGUAGCAGUAGUAAUAUGAAGUGUAUAUAGAGUUGGUUGACA